UGUAGGGCGGGGUCUCCGAACCCCGCCUUGGAGCGGUCGUGAUUACGUGAUCGAGGCGGGGUUCGGAGACCCCGCCCUACAGC
rnacentral:tRNA from 1 species